AGUGAGCGCUGGCGGUAGGCCUAACACAUGCAAGUCGAACGGCAGCACAGUAAGAGCUUGCUCUUACGGGUGGCGAGUGGCGGACGGGUGAGGAAUACAUCGGAAUCUACUUUUUCGUGGGGGAUAACGUAGGGAAACUUACGCUAAUACCGCAUACGACCUACGGGUGAAAGCAGGGGAUCUUCGGACCUUGCGCGAUUGAAUGAGCCGAUGUCGGAUUAGCUAGUUGGCGGGGUAAAGGCCCACCAAGGCGACGAUCCGUAGCUGGUCUGAGAGGAUGAUCAGCCACACUGGAACUGAGACACGGUCCAGACUCCUACGGGAGGCAGCAGUGGGGAAUAUUGGACAAUGGGCGCAAGCCUGAUCCAGCCAUACCACGUGGGUGAAGAAGGCCUUCGGGUUGUAAAGCCCUUUUGUUGGGAAAGAAAAGCAGCAGGUUAAUACCCCGCUGUUCUGACGGUACCCAAAGAAUAAGCACCGGCUAACUUCGUG
rnacentral:rRNA from 1 species